GGGUCCCUUACACGUAAGCAAAUCGCAUGGUUGUCGCUUAGCCCUGUUAUUUAGUACAUUUUAUGGUUCAAAUUACAAAAUUGGUACAUUUCAAAGACCUUUAUCAAUAUUUACAUAAAUAAAAAUAUAUAAAAAAAUAAAAACUAAACUAAAAUAAAAGAUCCUUACCUAAAAAAAUUUCCAAAUCCAACGGUAACAAUUUGAUCGCUAUCAAUGAAGAAGAGCCACAUUCUCAUCCAUUUCCUCUUCAAUCUCCGCCAUUCCUCCAAUCUCAUUACCGCCGCCGUCCACACCAUGCCACUGCUCCAUUGGCACACAUUCCGAUUUGUGCCUCAACUUCCAAUCGAGCGCUUGACAUCCCCGCGAGCAAUAAUUCACCUUUCCACAAACAGAACAGCGACGGAACUCGUGCGGCCUUGUCUCCGGUCGCCCGCACCCUCUGUGCGAGCACAACCUCAAGCUUGGCCCCAGAACCCCGUGCCCCGACUCGAACCACUCUCUCAAAAACCAAUUCGCUGGGUGUAACUCCCUCGCUGGCACACUACAACCAAAGUCACUUAGCAAUAGACACCCCAUGCUUCCCAUCAUCACACACGAAGCAUAUUGGACAUGCUGCCGCUGCUGUUGGUGUUGGAAUUGCCACAUGAGCAUGGAACGUAACGAUGAUGCGAUCUCUCGCGCGUUGGCCUGGAUUAGGAGCCGGCGUCCCUCGGCAAUGUUUCGAGCAACGCCAUAACCGUCUUGGAGACAAUGGCCUAGCUCCCGUAGCGCAUCGAUGUGACCCAAGACGGCUGCUCGAGCGCAAAGAGAGACACCGGCUUUGAGAUCUUUGUCGUUUUUGGAGCCACCGCUGCCGUUGAACUGCAUAACUGCUAGAGAGUAAAGAGCCAGUGCGUGUGAUUUGAUGGCGGCCUUGGCUAUCAAGGACGCUCCAGUUCCUCGGCUUUGCAAGCAAUAAAAUCGGAUCUAUAAGAGCACAAAAGAAACCCAAAACUUUUACCAUGAAUAUCAUAUUAUACUCUUGUUUAGAAGAUAGAGGGACGUCGGAGAAUAUAUAUAAAUACUGACCAUUCCUAGAGUAUAGGAGGCUUCAGUGUUGCCGGCGUUAACGCACUGUUUGAGAAACCGGUGAGCAGAUUCUGACCAGUUUUUUGCUCUGAUUGCGAAUGUUUUAGGUCCGGCUUUGGACAAAACCAGAGGAUGAAGACCCAACCGAUUCAAUCUUUUGCAUGUUAUGAGAAUGUUAAUGAAAUCUGAAGGACAGGAAGCGGAGGAGCUAAGCUUGCAAAGGAUGCAAACCACAAUAUCGUCUGGUAGUUCUUCGAAAAGAUCAGAUUUUUGGGUGACUAAGGGUGAAAUUUUUUGCCUUUUUCUUUGAAGCAUCUUCUCUUCUCUUGUUCUUUGGCUCUGUAAACUCUGUUCUGAUGUAUGGAGACUUUUAACUUCUCCUAUUCCAAGGGUAUGGAGAAACGGCACUGUCUCUUGUCGUCCUGCCUGCUGCCUUCUGGUUCUCCUUGUUUGGAGCAAACCUUGUUAAAAGAAAGAUGAAGUUAUAUAUGCGAAGAGAGUGAUGCAGAGCAGAGGACCCACAAACGUGAAAUGAAUUGUUAUUUAUUUAU
rnacentral:misc_RNA from 1 species